GCCGAAUGAAAAUAGAAAGAAAAUAAGAAAACCAAGCUAGGUAUUCGACCCUUGUUCAAGCAAAUUAAGAUCAAGAACCAAAGAAAACAGAUUUGGAUCAGGGAAAAGCAAAAAUAAUCGGAUAGUCGUUUGUUUCCGUUUGUCGACAUCCGAGGUAAGUUUAUAAGCAUUUUAAAUGUUGUUAACUUUGAUUAUAUGUGAAUUAUAUAUAGGUUGAAUUGAAUUCUUGAUUAUAUAAGUGUUGGUCGAAUGUUUGAUUAUAUGUGAAUUAUGCUUGGGAGCAAUGUUUUCGAGUUCGAUUCGAUCGAGAUACGAUGUCUGAAAGUCCCGUACGAACCUUAGGAAUAGUUAGGAUACAUAUGUCAUGACAUAGGAUUCCAUUGUGUGUUAUCGUGUAAGACCAUGUCUGGGACGUUCGCAUCGAUUUGUGAUUUACGUGUAAGACCCUAUCUGGGACAGUGGCAUCGAUAUGUAAUUACAUGUAAGACCACGUCUGGGACGUUGGCAUUGUAUCAGCUUUCCGACUAUUGACGUAUCCUUUUUAAUUUUGAACGGUUCAACGAGCAAUAUGAAGUAAAGACCGAAUGUGAAAUCAACUUACAGGUUCAGGUAUGUGCUAGUUAAAUGUUUAUAAGGAAACAAGGUAAGUUGAUUACUUGAAAUGAUAUAAAGUUAUGUGAAUAUGGAUUUCGUGUUAGCAUAGUUGAGCAUAUAAGUGAUUUGGCCUAUUGAUAUGUUUGUAAUAAUAAAUGUGAAAAUAUAUAUGUAUAUGAUUGACUAUAUUUGGCCAUAUGGUAUAUGUAUGUGAGGUUAAAAUGUGAUCUAUUAGUAAAUGAUAACUUGUAUUUGAUAUUAUGCAAAUUCGGCCUUGUAAACAAAAUGUUAAUAUGUAAUUGUUGUUAUAUAUGUUUUUGCUUAAUGCUUACUAAGCUUAAAUAGCUUAUUGUGUGCGUGCUCUUGUUUACCUCUAUUUUAUAUAUUUUGGAGUCACGUUACGAGCUCGGGGAUCGUCAGCAAAGCCUAUCACACUAUCAACUGUUUCUUUUGGUAUUUUACUAGGUUGAUUUUGGGCAUAUGGCAUGUAUAGCAUAGUUGAAAUGUUUGAUUUUUCGGCAUGUAUAUAUAUAUAUAAAGCCAUGCUAAAAUGGCUUGAUGACUUUGUUUAGGUUCGGUUAUAUGAGUUCUUGUUUAAAUGUUUAAUGUGUUUGGUUU